UACGUAGGGUGCGAGCGUUAAUCGGAAUUACUGGGCGUAAAGCGUGCGCAGGCGGUUUUGUAAGACAGGCGUGAAAUCCCCGGGCUCAACCUGGGAAUGGCGCUUGUGACUGCAAAGCUGGAGUGCGGCAGAGGGGGAUGGAAUUCCGCGGUGUAGCAGUGAAAUGCGUAGAUAUGCGGAGGAACACCGAUGGCGAAGGCAAUCCCCUGGGCCUGCACUGACGCUCCAUGCACGAAAGCGUGGGGAGCAAACAGGA
rnacentral:rRNA from 1 species